rnacentral:tRNA from 2 species
GCACCUGUAGCUCAGUGGUAGAGCGCUUGCCUCGUAAGCAAGAGGUCGGGGGUUCAAAUCCCCCCAGGCGCU